rnacentral:lncRNA from 1 species
GUUGCUCUGCAUUAUGCUCCUUGUCAAGAUGCAGCAAAUGGAUGUAAGUGAGGAGGUUUGAUGCCAGAGACAUCCUCAGUCCACAAAGUGCUGAUCCGUAUCAGCUGUUAGGGCUGACUGGUGUGUAGAAUAACCAGAGACUCUUGGGAAGACUCAUUAUAGCAGAAUGCCUCUUAAGUGACCUCUGCUUAAACCCACUCAUGAGCUGAAAUGGUACUCUUUCUUUUCCCUGUAGAAUUUACAGAGCCCGUGCUGCACGGGGUGGUAGAAAGCUACUCUCUACUUUCCUUUCUUCCAGUUGUCCCUACCAAGAGUCAUUUGUGUUUAUGCUCCACAAACCAUCAGUGACAGUUACACUUGAUUUUGUAAUUAUAUAUUGCAGUAAAACCUUGUUCAGCAAAUUCUGAGGUCAGAAACAUGUUUGUAUGAGAGCCAUUUUGCUGCUUUGGAAAGAAGAGUGUAGCAAAACCAAUUACAGUUGAAAUACGGGGACAAUGAAAUGAUUUUAAUCCUAGACAAUAAUAUAAAGACCCCAGAGUAAGGCUGCUUAAGUGUUGUGGGGUGCCUUUUCACAUGGAAGAAACAGAAGCUGGCAAUGGCAGGUGAUGUACCAUGGGUGUGGCUUUUGCAAGAAAAAUAAUGUGGAACUCUCGCCAGUGAACUCCUGUAUGAAGAAAGGAGCUUAGCUCUGCAGUGCAAGAUUGCCCUGUAAAUGGACCUUGUAUUUUAGCUGCACUAAAUUAUUUAGGGUCUGUGGCGUCUUGUUGUUGUUCUGUAGAUU